rnacentral:misc_RNA from 1 species
AACGCACGAGACCUGCGGACCUGCGGAAGGAUCAUUAAUGGGAAACUGCCCCUCGCGGGUAGAUCUCCCACCCUUUGUAAACUUACCUUUGUUGCUUUGGCAGGCCCGUCUCCGGACCGCCGGCUUCGGCUGGCCAGUGCCUGCCAGAGGAUUCUAAAACUCUGUCUGUCAGUGUUGUCUGAGUCUAUAUACAAUCGUUAAAACUUUCAACAAUGGAUCUCUAGAUCGGAAGAGCACACG